GCAUGUCGAGGAUAUCGGUUGGCCUCGUUAAUCAUCCGAUACAAUUAUAAUUGCCGAAGAUUAUUCUUUCGCAAUGGCUGCCUAAAGCGGCCGAACUGUUCAGGGAACGCACUUUUUUCUGAACAGUCUGCUAAGGUGCUGGUCUGAAGAGGGGCGACGAUCUUCAGAUGAGAUAUUCGCCGCUGGUUCUACUGUAAGCGUGUUCUUUCGCGUAUGGCGGAAUAAGAUCAAAUAAAGAACUAAGCAUGUAGUGGUUCAUGGUAAGGGCUUUUCGGACAGGGGUUCAACUCCCCUCACCUCCAAUU
rnacentral:tmRNA from 1 species